GAGUAUGAUGAAGAAAGAAUUAAAAUCCAAGGAGGAACAGAAGAAAAGUAUGUAGAAAAUGUGAUUUCCCCAAGGCUCGUGACAUUGUCUUGUAAGGGAAGAUGGGUCUGACUGCCAGUAGCAGCCUUAAACAAAAUAAUCAAAAAAGUGAGCCCCCGCACAUAAGCUCGAGACUAUCAGAUACCUGUCACGAUAAAUACAUUACCUUCAAUUCUUACAACAGUAUGGCAAAUUAAAGUCCACUUGUACAGAUGAGGAAACACAGAAUAAAUGACUGGUACAAGGUCAGAGGUAACACCCUCUCUACCUCACAAAGCUGUUGAAAGAAUUAAAUGAACUAAUUCAGUGCUUCUAAAACUUCAGUGUGUGCUUUAAGACUUAAAUAUAAGACAAGACACCAUAAAACUCCUAGAAGAGAACACUAGCAAAACAUUCUCUGACAUCAACCUUACAAAUGUUUUCUCAGGUCAGUCUCCCAAGGCAACAGAAAUAAAAACAAAAAUAAACCAAUGGGACCUAAUCAAACUGAGAAGUUUUGCAACAGCAAAGGAAACCAAAAAAAAAAAAAAAGAAAAAAAAAAGACAACUUACAGAAUGGGAGAAAAUAGUUUCGAACGAUGCAACUGACAAGGGCUUAAUCUCUAAAAUAUGCAAACAACUUAUACAACUCAACAGCAAAAAAGCCAACAACCCAAUGGAAAAAUGGGCAAAAGACCUGAAUAAACAUUUCUCCAAAGAAGAUAUACAGAUGGCCAACAAGCAUAUGAAAAAAUGCUCAACAUCACUGACUAUUAGAGAAAUCCAAACCAAAACUACCAUGAGGUACCACCUCAGACCAGUCAGAAUGGCCAUCAUUAAUAAGUCCACAAAUAACAAAUGCUGGAGAGGGUGUGGAGAAAAGAGAAGCCUCCUGCACUUUUGGUAGGAAUGUAAGCUGGUACAAUCACUAUGGAAAACAAUAUGGAGGUACCUUAGGAAUCUAUACAUAGAACUACCAUAUGACGCAGCAAUCCCACUCUUGGGCAUAUAUCCAGACAAAACUUUCCUUGAAAAGGACACAUGCACCCCCAUGUUCAUUGCAGCUCUAUUCAAUAGCCAAGACAUAGAAACAACCUAAAAGUGUCCAUCAACAGAUGAAUGGAUUCAGAAGAUGUGGUAUAUAUACACAAUGGAAUACUACUCAGCCAUAAAAAAGAACAAAAUAAUGCCAUUUGCAGCAACAUGGAUGGAACUAGAGACUCUCAUACUGAGUGAAGUAAGUCAGAAAGAGAAAGACAAAUGCCAUAUUAUAUCACUUAUAUCUGGAAUCUAAUAUACAGCACAAAUGAACCUUUCCACAGAAAACAAAAUCAUGGACUUGGAGAACAGACUUGUGGUUGCCAAGGGGGAGGGGAGGGAGUAGAAUGGAUUGGGAAAUUGGGGUUAAUAGAUGCAGACUUUUGCCUUUUGAAUGGAUUAGCAAUAAGAUCCUGCUGUGUAGCACUGGGAACUAUAUAUUGUCACUUACAAUGGAGCAAGAUACUAUGAAAAAAAGGAAUGUAUACGUGUAUGUAUUGACUGGGUCACCUUGCUGUUCAGUAGAAAAUUGACAGAACACUGUAAACCAGUUACAAUGGAAAAAAAUAAAAAUC
rnacentral:lncRNA from 1 species